GACGAACGCUGGCGGCGUGCCUAACACAUGCAAGUCGAACGGGGUAAUUUCUUCGGAGAUUACUUAGUGGCGAACGGGUGAGUAACGCGUGAGAAACCUGCCUUUCAGUGGGGGACAACAGUUGGAAACGACUGCUAAUACCGCAUAAUGUUAUUUGGGGGCAUCCCUGGAUAACCAAAGAUUUAUUGCUGAAAGAUGGUCUCGCGUCUGAUUAGCUAGUUGGUGAGGUAACGGCUCACCAAGGCGACGAUCAGUAGCCGGUCUGAGAGGAUGAACGGCCACAUUGGGACUGAGAUACGGCCCAGACUCCUACGGGAGGCAGCAGUGAGGAAUAUUGGUCAAUGGACGAGAGUCUGAACCAGCCAAGUCGCGUGAAGGAAGACUGCCCUAAGGGUUGUAAACUUCUUUGUAUGGGAAUAAAAAAUGGACGGUACCUGGAGAAAAGACCACGGCUAACUAACGUGCCAGUA
rnacentral:rRNA from 1 species